rnacentral:rRNA from 1 species
GACGAACGCUGGCGGCGUGCUUAACACAUGCAAGUCGAACGGUGAAGGGGUCUGCUUUUGUGGGCCCUGGAUGAGUGGCGAACGGGUGAGUAACACGUGAGUAACCUGCCCCCUUCUUCUGGAUAACCGCAUGAAAGUGUGGCUAAUACGGGAUAUUCUGGGUCUGUCGCAUGAUGGGUCUGGGAAAGAUUGCGCCUUUGGGUGUUUUUGGUGGGGGAUGGGCUCGCGGCCUAUCAGCUUGUUGGUGGGGUGAUGGCCUACCAAGGCGGUGACGGGUAGCCGGCCUGAGAGGGUGGACGGUCACACUGGGACUGAGACACGGCCCAGACUCCUACGGGAGGCAGCAGUGGGGAAUAUUGCACAAUGGGCGCAAGCCUGAUGCAGCGACGCCGCGUGAGGGAUGGAGGCCUUCGGGUUGUAAACCUCUUUCGCCAGUGAAGCAGGCCUGCUCCUUGUGGGUGGGUUGAGGGUAGCUGGAGAAGAAGCGCCGGCUAACUACGUG